AUUGAACGCUGGCGGCAUGCCUUACACAUGCAAGUCGAACGGUAACAGGGAGCUUGCUCCGCUGACGAGUGGCGAACGGGUGAGUAAAGUAUCGGAACGUACCAUUCAGUGGGGGAUAACGUAGCGAAAGUUGCGCUAAUACCGCGUAUUCUGUGAGCAGGAAAGCAGGGGAUCGCAAGACCUUGCGCUGAUUGAGCGGCCGAUAUCAGAUUAGCGAGUUGGUGAGGUAAAGGCUCACCAAGGCGACGAUCUGUAGCGGGUCUGAGAGGAUGAUCCGCCACACUGGAACUGAGACACGGUCCAGACUCCUACGGGAGGCAGCAGUGGGGAAUUUUGGACAAUGGGGGCAACCCUGAUCCAGCCAUGCCGCGUGAGUGAAGAAGGCCUUCGGGUUGUAAAGCUCUUUCGGCCGGGAAAAAAUCGCACGGAUUAAUACCCUGUGUGGAUGAUGGUACCGGAAUAAGAAGCACCGGCUAACUACGUGCCAGCCGCCGCGGUAA
rnacentral:rRNA from 1 species